rnacentral:pre_miRNA from 1 species
UCUUACGGAUGAGCAAAAAAAGUGUUUUAUUGCGAUGUAAUCUACUCUUGGUGAAAAUGUUGUGAA